UGCAAGUCGAGCGGAAACGAGAAUAGCUUGCUAUUCGGCGUCGAGCGGCGGACGGGUGAGUAAUGCUUGGGAAUAUGCCUUUGAGUGGGGGACAACAGUUGGAAACGACUGCUAAUACCGCAUAACGUCUACGGACCAAAGGGGGGGAUCUUCGGACCUCUCGCUCAUUGAUUAGCCCAAGUGAGAUUAGCUAGUUGGUAAGGUAAUGGCUUACCAAGGCGACGAUCUCUAGCUGGUUUGAGAGGAUGAUCAGCCACACUGGGACUGAGACACGGCCCAGACUCCUACGGGAGGCAGCAGUGGGGAAUAUUGCACAAUGGGCGAAAGCCUGAUGCAGCCAUGCCGCGUGUGUGAAGAAGGCCUUCGGGUUGUAAAGCACUUUCAGCGAGGAGGAAAGGGUGUUGUUUAAUACGCAACAUCUGUGACGUUACUCGCAGAAGAAGCACCGGCUAACUUCGUGCCAGCAGCCGCGGUAAUACGAGGGGUGCAAGCGUUAAUCGGAAUUACUGGGCGUAAAGCGUGCGUAGGUGGUUUGUUAAGCAAGAUGUGAAAGCCCCGGGCUCAACCUGGGAACUGCAUUUUGAACUGGCAAACUAGAGUAUUGUAGAGGGUAGUGGAAUUUCCAGUGUAGCGGUGAAAUGCGUAGAGAUUGGAAGGAACAUCAGUGGCGAAGGCGGCUACCUGGACAAAUACUGACACUGAGGCACGAAAGCGUGGGGAGCAAACAGGAUUAGAUACCCUGGUAGUCCACGCCGUAAACGAUGUCAACUAGCCGUCUGUGACCUUGAGUCGUGGGUGGCGCAGCUAACGCACUAAGUUGACCGCCUGGGGAGUACGGCCGCAAGGUUAAAACUCAAAUGAAUUGACGGGGGCCCGCACAAGCGGUGGAGCAUGUGGUUUAAUUCGAUGCAACGCG
rnacentral:rRNA from 1 species